CUAUGCGCCUUGCCAGCCCGCUCAGGUGUGCCAGCCGCCGCGGUAAUACGGAGGGUGCAAGCGUUAAUCGGAAUUACUGGGCGUAAAGCGCACGCAGGCGGUUUGUUAAGUCAGAUGUGAAAUCCCCGGGCUCAACCUGGGAACUGCAUCUGAUACUGGCAAGCUUGAGUCUCGUAGAGGGGGGUAGAAUUCCAGGUGUAGCGGUGAAAUGCGUAGAGAUCUGGAGGAAUACCGGUGGCGAAGGCGGCCCCCUGGACGAAGACUGACGCUCAGGUGCGAAAGCGUGGGUAGCAAACAGG
rnacentral:rRNA from 1 species